rnacentral:rRNA from 1 species
UACGUAGGUGGCAAGCGUUGUCCGGAAUUACUGGGUGUAAAGGGCGUGUAGGCGGGAAGAUAAGUCAGAUGUGAAAUCCCAGGGCUUAACUCUGGAGCUGCAUCUGAAACUGUUUUUCUUGAGUACUGGAGAGGAAAGUGGAAUUCCUAGUGUAGCGGUGAAAUGCGUAGAGAUUAGGAGGAACACCAGUGGCGAAGGCGGCUUUCUGGACAGUAACUGACGCUGAGGCGCGAAAGCGUGGGGAGCAAACAGGAUUAGAUACCCUGGUA